AAAAAAGAUCUUAUCUGCUGUGUGGAGAAUGGAUUGGAAAAGGAAGGAGACACUAUACAUCAGUAAACAGUUGAGAAACCCAGAGGGCUUUCACAUCAGCCCCUGGGACCAAUCAAGCACUGAUCAACUCAGAUAUCUGGAUAGAUACCUAGCUGGGUAAAAGAAGACGCUCCUAGAAGGAGCUGACACUGGAUAACAACAUGGAAAGGAAUCCCCAGGAGAGCAGGAAAGGUCUCUCCCACAAAGCAGUCCCCCGGGUUGCUGGCCUGCUGCUUGCCGUGGCCCUCAUGAAUGUUCUUCUUUACCUCUGCCUCAACCAAUUUUUCAUUUUCCCUCAACGAUCUACUGAGGAUCCCAGGUCCUGUCCUUAUGGUUACUUCAGAAUGGGACAGAUGAAAGACUGCUCACCUUGGCUAUCCUGUGAGGAGCUGAGGACAGAAGUAAGGCAGUUAAAGUGCAUUGGGGAAGGAGCUGUGAAGAGAGUCUUUCUGUCUGAGUGGAAGGAACGCAAAGUUGCUCUUUCACGGCUGAAGAGUUUGGAAAUGAAAGAUGAUUUUCUCCAUGGACUUCAAAUGCUGAAAUCUCUACAAAGUAAACACAUUGUCACACUGGUUGGCUAUUGUGAGGAUGACAACAGUAUCCUUACUGAAUAUCACCCCUUGGGUUCUUUGAGAAACCUAGAGGAAACACUAACCCUCUCAAAGUACCAAAAUGUGAACACAUGGCAGCACAGGCUGCAGUUGGCUAUAGGGUAUGUCAGUAUCAUUAACUACCUACACCACAGCCCUCUGGGCACACUGGUUAUGUGUGAUUCUAAUGACUUGCCCAAGACAUUGUCCCAGUAUCUGCUUACAAGUAACUUGAGCAUCGUGGCAAAUGACUUGGAUGCCUUGCCUCUGGUGAACCACAGCUCUAAGAUGUUUGUGAAGUGUGGCCACAGGGAGCUUCAUGGGGAUUUUGUGGCUCCAGAGCAGCUGUGGCCCUAUGGAAAGGACACACCUUUUCAUGAUGAGCUUAUGCCUUCCUAUGAUGAGAAGGUUGACAUCUGGAAGAUUCCAGAUGUCUCCAGUUUCCUUUUGGGUCAUGUUGAAGGCAGUGAUAUGGUUCGAUUCCAUUUGUUUGAUAUUCACAAGGCUUGUAAGAGCCAGACUCCUGCAGAAAGACCCACUGCUCAGGAUAUUCUGGAUACUUAUCAGAAGGUUUUUAACUUGCUCAGAGAUACUGGAAGGUCUCAGACAAGGGAAAUGUUAUAAAACCCAGACUAGUUGUUGAAGGGUAGGAUUUAAAGACUGAAUCAAAAUUACAACAGUUCUAUGCUGAUGAUGGAGGUUGUUGCUUAUGCUUGGGGUUUUCAUUAUGUUUUGCUGUUUGGCCAUAUGAUUCUUUUUCUACAUCUGUUUCUACAUCUGACUGCCCAAGUGGGAGCAAGAGCAAAGCAGAUUUGAUUUAAACCUGGCUUCACAUUUCUGAGGAUGUUUGCUUUUGGUGAAGAUGUAGGAAGCAAUGAAAUUACCCAGUAUCUAAAUUAACUAAUACAAAUAUAGUCAUAAAGAAGCCUUGCAUACCCUAAUAAAGUUUGUAAGCUCUUAAGAAAAGUAUUAAUAGAGAUUUUUAAAUGGUGCAACAUGAAAUAAGUGUAGUCCUUUAUCAAAGAACAUUUUUGCUUCCCAAUUUAAAAAACGUUGAGGUACAGAACUCUAGGCAUUCACACACAGACCAAAGGAGGAUACUCUUAGGGGUGAACACAAAGGUGCCAUGCCUCUGUGCCUCUGAUCAUAUAAAAUAAUAUCAAAUUAACCCAGGAAAUGGAAACAAGAGUUUUUUUUCUUAUUUUUCCUUUUAUAUUGUUUAUUCUUCUAUCUGCCUUUGGGGUGGGGAAAGACACAGAAAUGGCAGGACAAAGGGUGAACAAAAGCAGCAGGGGUACUCAGUAUGUUUAAUAUAAACUGUACAACCUGUGGGUGGGGAUGGGAGGGAAGAACGGGGA